GAAUUUGGCUUUAGGUCGGGGACAACAGUUGGAAACGACUGCUAAUACCGGAUAUGCCGGAAGGUGAAAGAUUUAUUGCCUGAAGAUAAGCUCGCGUCUGAUUAGCUAGUUGGUAGUGUAAGGGACUACCAAGGCGACGAUCAGUAGCUGGUCUGAGAGGAUGAUCAGCCACACUGGGACUGAGACACGGCCCAGACUCCUACGGGAGGCAGCAGUGGGGAAUUUUCCGCAAUGGGCGAAAGCCUGACGGAGCAAUACCGCGUGAGGGAGGAAGGCUCUUGGGUCGUAAACCUCUUUUCUCAGGGAAGAAAAAAAUGACGGUACCUGAGGAAUAAGCAUCGGCUAACUCCGUGCCAGCAGCCGCGGUAAUACGGAGGAUGCAAGCGUUAUCCGGAAUGAUUGGGCGUAAAGGGUCCGCAGGUGGAACUGAAAGUCUGCUGUUAAAGAGUCUGGCUCAACCAGAUAAAAGCAGUGGAAACUACAGAACUAGAGUACGUUCGGGGCAGAAGGAAUUCCUAGUGUAGCGGUGAAAUGCGUAGAUAUUAGGAAGAACACCGGUGGCGAAAGCGUUCUGCUAGGCCGUAACUGACACUGAGGGACGAAAGCUAGGGGAGCGAAUGGGAUUAGAUACCCCAGUAGUCCUAGCCGUAAACGAUGGAUACUAGGCGUGGCUUGUAUCGACCCGAGCCGUGCCGUAGCUAACGCGUUAAGUAUCCCGCCUGGGGAGUACGCACGCAAGUGUGAAACUCAAAGGAAUUGACGGGGGCCCGCACAAGCGGUGGAGUAUGUGGUUUAAUUCGAUGCAACGCGAAGAACCUUACCAAGGCUUGACAUCCUGCGAAUCUCGGUGAAAGCUGAGAGUGCCUUAGGGAGCGCAGAGACAGGUGGUGCAUGGCUGUCGUCAGCUCGUGUCGUGAGAUGUUGGGUUAAGUCCCGCAACGAGCGCAACCCUCGUUUUUAGUUGCCAGCAUUAAGUUGGGCACUCUAGAGAGACUGCCGGUGACAAACCGGAGGAAGGUGAGGAUGACGUCAAGUCAGCAUGCCCCUUACGCCUUGGGCUACACACGUACUACAAUGCUACGGACAAAGGGCAGCUACACAGCGAUGUGAUGCAAAUCUCAUAAACCGUAGCUCAGUUCAGAUCGAAG
rnacentral:rRNA from 1 species